GGGGAGGUAGCAUAACUGGCUAAUGCACCGCAUUUGCACUGCGGAUUAUUGGGUUCGAGUCCCACCUGCUCCA
rnacentral:tRNA from 1 species